GGGGGGUCAAAUUAAUAAUUUAUAAGAUAAUAAAAGAAAUUUUAAUUUUAAAAAUAUUUAAUGGGGGUUAAAGUAUUUUUAAUUGAAAAAAUUUGAAAUUUUAUAGUGAAAUAGUAUUGUGGGUGAAUUUUGAAAUAAUUUUUAAAAAAAAAUUAGUUUAAAAGUAAAUUUUAUUUAUUGUAUCUUGUGUAUCAGAGUUUAUUAAAAAUUUUUUAUUUAGUUAAAUUUCUCGAAUUUAAAAGAGUUAAUUAAUUAUUAAAUUUAUUGUUUCAUAAAUAUUUUAAAUAAUUAAUUAGAAAUGAAAUGUUAUUCGUUUUUAAAUAUAUCUAGUUAUUUUAGAAAAAAAUUUAAUUUUUAAUAUAAAUUUAAAAUUAAUUAAUUAAUUAAUUAAUUUUAAAUUUAUAUUUAAUAUUUUAAGGGAUAAGCUUUAAUUUAAAUUUUUAUAAUAAUAAGUAAUAUUUGAAAAUUUUAUAAUUUAUAUUGUUAAUAAAUUUUAAUUUAUUAUAAAUAAUUUUAAUAAAAUUGAAAAUUUAAUUUAUAAUUUAAUUUUUUAUAAAAAAAUUUUUUUUAAUAAUAAAAAAUUAGUUAUAAUGAUAAAAUUAGUAUAUAAAAUGUUAAAAUUAAAAUAUAAUUAUAAAAAAUUUAUUUUAAAGGAAUUCGACAAAAAGUUAUAUUCACCUGUUUAUCAAAAACAUGUCUUUUUGGGUAAUAAUUUAAAGUCUAAUCUGCCCACUGAUUUAAUAAUUAAAGGGCUGCAGUAUAUUGACUGUACAAAGGUAGCAUAAUCAUUAGUCUCUUAAUUGGUGACUUGUAUGAAAGAUUGGAUGAAAUAUAAAUUGUCUCUAAAAUAUUUAUUAGAAAUUAAUUUUUUAAUUAAAAAGUUUAAAUAAAUUAAAAAGACGAGAAGACCCUAUAGAGUUUUAUAAUUAAAUAUUUUUAAGUUUUUAAUUAAUUAUUUGGUUUUAUAAAAGUUAUUUAAUUAUUUUAUUGGGGUGAUAAAAAAAUAAAUUAAACUUUUUUUAGUUUUAAACAUAAAUAAGUGAUUAAUUGAUCCAAAUUUUUUUGAUUAUAAGAAAAAAUUACCUUAGGGAUAACAGCGUAAUUUUUUUUUUUAGUUCAGAUAAAAAAAAAAGUUUGCGACCUCGAUGUUGGAUUAAGAUAAAAUUUAAAUGCAGAAGUUUAAAAUUUUGAUCUGUUCGAUCAUUAAAAUCUUACAUGAUCUGAGUUCAAACCGGUGUAAGCCAGGUUGGUUUCUAUCUUUUAAAUAUUUUUAUAUUUUAGUACGAAAGGAUUAAAUAUUAUAAUUAAAUUAAGUUAAAUUGAAUUCUAUUAAAUAGGAAAUAGAUUUAACUAUUUUGGCAGAAAAAUGU
rnacentral:rRNA from 1 species